GACGAACGCUGGCGGCGUGCCUAAUACAUGCAAGUUGAGCGCUGAAGGUUGGUACUUGUACCAACUGGAUGAGCAGCGAACGGGUGAGUAACGCGUGGGGAAUCUGCCUUUGAGCGGGGGACAACAUUUGGAAACGAAUGCUAAUACCGCAUAAAAACUUUAAACACAAGUUUUAAGUUUGAAAGAUGCAAUUGCAUCACUCAAAGAUGAUCCCGCGUUGUAUUAGCUAGUUGGUGAGGUAAAGGCUCACCAAGGCGAUGAUACAUAGCCGACCUGAGAGGGUGGUCGGCCACAUUGGGACUGAGACACGGCCCAAACGCCUACGGGAGGCAGCAGGAGGGAAUCUUCGGCAAUGGACGAAAGUCUGACCGAGCAACGCCGAGUGAGUGAAGAAGGUUUUCGGAUCGUAAAACUCUGUUGGUAGAGAAGAACGUUGGUGAGAGUGGAAAGCUCAUCAAGUGACGGUAACUACCCAGAAAGGGACGGCUAACUACGUG
rnacentral:rRNA from 1 species